rnacentral:rRNA from 1 species
AACGAACGCUGGCGGCAUGCCUAACACAUGCAAGUCGAACGAGACCUUCGGGUCUAGUGGCGCACGGGUGCGUAACGCGUGGGAACCUGCCCUUAGGUUCGGAAUAACAGUUAGAAAUGACUGCUAAUACCGGAUAAUGUCUUCGGACCAAAGAUUUAUCGCCUUUGGAUGGGCCCGCGUAAGAUUAGGUAGUUGGUGGGGUAAAGGCCUACCAAGCCGACGAUCUUUAGAUGGUCUGAGAGGAUGAUCAGCCACACUGGGACUGAGACACGGCCCAGACUCCUACGGGAGGCAGCAGUGGGGAAUAUUGGACAAUGGGCGAAAGCCUGAUCCAGCAAUGCCGCGUGAGUGAUGAAGGCCUUAGGGUUGUAAAGCUCUUUUACCAGGGAUGAUAAUGACAGUACCUGGAGAAUAAGCUCCGGCUAACUCCGUGCCAGCCGCCGCCGUAAAAC